rnacentral:rRNA from 1 species
GAUUAACGCUGGCGGCGUGCAUAACACAUGCAAGUCGAACGAUGAAACUUAGUCGACUUCUUCGGAAAGACACUAAGCGGAAUAGUGGCGAACGGGUGAGUAACGCGUGAGUAACCUGCCUUACACACGGGGAUAGCCUUUGGAAACGACGAAUAAUACCCUAUAAAACCAUUAAAGCACAUGCUAGAAUGGUCAAAGUGAUAGCGGUGUAAGAUGGACUUGCGUCUGAUUAGCUAGUUGGUGAGAUAAAAGCUCACCAAGGCAACGAUCAGUAGACGGCGUGAGAGAGUGUACGGCCACAUUGGGACUGAGACACGGCCCAGACUCCUACGGGAGGCAGCAGUGGGGAAUAUUGCACAAUGGGGGAAAACCUGAUGCAGCGACGCCGCGUGAUUUAGAAGGCCUUCGGGUUGUAAAAAUCUUUUGUAUAGGAAGAAAAUGACAGUACUAUACUAAUAAGGUCCGGCUAAUUACGUG